AUUAUUUUAAGAUUAUUUUUUAUUGUUGAAAAAAUUAAAAAUAAAUUGUUUUUAACAAAAAUUAAAAUUUAUAAUAUUUCAUUUUUUGGUUUUUUGUUUUAAAUUAAAAUAAUAAAUAUGGGGGAAAAAAAAAUUUUGUUAUAAAUUAUAUUAGUUUAUUUUAAUUAAAAAUAUUUUUUAUUAAAUUUGUUUUUUUUAUUUUUUUAUAAAAAAUAUUAAUUUAAUUAUUAUUAUUGAGUUUAAUUUAGUUAUUUUUAAAAAAAUUUUGUAUAAAAUAAAUUUGAUAAUAAAUGUUUUUUAAAUUCUUUGGGGGUUUAGUUUAUGAUUUUUUGUUUCUGCUCAUUGUUAAAUAAAAGCACUU
rnacentral:rRNA from 1 species